CAGCUGUAGCUCUACUAAUUAUGGUUGACAAGUUAACUGGCCGGUUGUUGUGUGAUAUUUCUUUGAGAACUCCAAUGACAUAUCUACUUACCGACCUUCUCACAUUU